UCUUUCACCGGAUAUACAUUUUACAGCCCUGAGGCAUUCAGAAUUUGAGACAACCCUAAUGAAGAGGAAGAGUGCCUUAGAGAGUUUAAGGAUCCAUGACUUUGAGCUAAAGUGAUAUAUUAGCAUGUACUCCGUAUUUGGUAUUUUUACUAUGGUCCUAUGGAUCUUGGCUGUGGUAUUUGUAAAACUAUCUUAAUUUUGUAGAAAAUACUAAGUUGUAGUGGUUGAAGGCUACUACAACCUGUGCAAUGUUUUUCAUGUCUAAUAUUUAUGCGUAGAUGCUCCAGAAGUGUAGUGCUUUUCUUUUUUUCUUUCUACUGUUGAAAAUUUCAUUAAUUUUAA